UGGGGAAUAUUGCACAAUGGGCGCAAGCCUGAUGCAGCCAUGCCGCGUGUAUGAAGAAGGCCUUCGGGUUGUAACGUACUUUCAGCGAGGAGGAAGGCGGUAAGGUUAAUAACCUUAUCGAUUGACGUUACUCGCAGAAGAAGCACCGGCUAACUCCGUGCCAGCAGCCGCGGUAAUACGGAGGGUGCAAGCGUUAAUCGGAAUUACUGGGCGUAAAGCGCACGCAGGCGGUCUGUCAAGUCGGAUGUGAAAUCCCCGGGCUCAACCUGGGAACUGCAUUCGAAACUGGCAGGCUAGAGUCUUGUAGAGGGGGGUAGAAUUCCAGGUGUAGCGGUGAAAUGCGUAGAGAUCUGGAGGAAUACCGGUGGCGAAGGCGGCCCUCUGGACAAAGACUGACGCUCAGGUGCGAAAGCGUGGGGAGCAAACA
rnacentral:rRNA from 1 species